rnacentral:lncRNA from 13 species
CACAUGCAUUACUGUCUACUGUAACUGCAUUAGCUCUGAUAUCUAUAUCCCUCAGUUGGUAUUGCUGCUACUAUGACAUUUCUGUCUGACUGGAUGACCUACUAGAUAUAAGCUACAAAUAGACAAAAUAAAUAUCUAAAUAAAUAAACAGGACUUACUUUUAUGUGGCAGAUCAUUAUCAGUACAGGGGCAUCCUCCUGGCAUAGGUAUUUUAAAUGAGAUAAAAAAUAACAAUUUUAUUUGUUGAUAAACACCAUUAAUGACUGAUAAAUAUAUCAUAGUUGUGUUAUAAUUUUGUUUAAUAUAGCCGCUGCCUUGACAUCCCUUUUUAGGCUUGAAAAGUUAUUUGAAAGCUAGUUAUACCCUAUGACCUUUGGUCUAGUUAAAACUUCCCCUCCUUGUGUAGUUGCUUGAGAGAUGCCAUGCUUAUUUCUAAACUCACUGACCACAAACCUAGCAUAUCCUGCAGCUGCUGGGCAGGAUUCAACCUAAUAAUGGCCAACAUCAGAGUCUCUGCUUCCACCCCCAACCCACCUGCUGUUUGAACACGUCACUGUCACUGGAUUUGCCACCCGCCCAAUGGGCACCCUGCUUCUAUCAUGGAUCUAUCAGAGUUUUGUGAGAUACUUCAACAUCUGCACUCUGAGAAUUGACAGUGGUGUGGUGGCUGGUAAUAAUAUGAUGGGCUGGCUUACUCAACCCAGAGUCCCCACCACCAUCCCACACACAGAAGGUAAGGAUUUUCAAAAGCUUUUGUACUGAUGUUAGUUUUCAGUAUUAGAUACAUUUUAUUUUGAUGUCAAAGAGUGUCAUACCUCUAGUUUUAUUAUUUUUGCUAAAGGUUGCAUUGGCUAUUCAAGGUCUUUUGUGAUUCUAUAGGAAUAUUAAGAGUGUUUUUUUUCCAUCUUUGUGAAAAAUGUCAUUGGAAUUGUGAUAGUGAUUGCAUUAAAUCCGUAGGUUGUUUUGAGUAGUAUAGACAUUUUAACAACAUUAAUUAUUCCAAGCAAUGAACAAGGACAUACACCAGUGAGUGGAUUGAGAGUCAGAAGUGACAAGCUUGCUUUGUUAUCACAAAUGAUUAUUAACAGACUGGUUAAGUAGAACUCGCCAUGACAGGCAACAAGGCAAAUUGAAGAAAUAUUACACAAAGGUUAUUGCAGAAUAAUCUGAAAGUUUGUAAAUGAC